AACGCGUUAACUAAAUUGGUAUAGUGUUAUGCUACGGACAUAUUUUUACAAGUUCAAAUCUUGUACGCGUUU